rnacentral:rRNA from 1 species
UGGGGAAUAUUGGACAAUGGGGGAAACCCUGAUCCAGCAAUGCCGCGUGGGUGAUGAAGGCCUUCGGGUUGUAAAGCCCUUUUGGCGGGGACGAUGAUGACGGUACCCGCAGAAGAAGCCCCGGCUAACUUCGUGCCAGCAGCCGCGGUAAUACGAAGGGGGCUAGCGUUGUUCGGAAUUACUGGGCGUAAAGGGCGCGUAGGCGGCCCCGCGCGUCGAGCGUGAAAGGCCUGGGCUCAACCCAGGAAUGGCGCUCGAUACGGCAGGGCUAGAGUGCAGGAGAGGAUGGUGGAAUUCCCAGUGUAGAGGUGAAAUUCGUAGAUAUUGGGAAGAACACCGGUGGCGAAGGCGGCCAUCUGGACUGCAACUGACGCUGAGGCGCGAAAGCGUGGGGAGCAAACAGGAUUAGAUACCCUGGUAGUCCACGCUGUAAACGAUGGAUGCUAGGUGUGGGUGGUAUUGACCCCAUCCGUGCCGAAGCUAACGCGUUAAGCAUCCCGCCUGGGGACUACGACCGCAAGGUUA